AGUCGAACGGUGAAGCCCAGCUUGCUGGGUGGAUCAGUGGCGAACGGGUGAGUAACACGUGAGCAACCUGCCCCUGACUCUGGGAUAAGCGCUGGAAACGGCGUCUAAUACUGGAUAUGUGACGUGACCGCAUGGUCUGCGUCUGGAAAGAAUUUCGGUUGGGGAUGGGCUCGCGGCCUAUCAGCUUGUUGGUGAGGUAAUGGCUCACCAAGGCGUCGACGGGUAGCCGGCCUGAGAGGGUGACCGGCCACACUGGGACUGAGACACGGCCCAGACUCCUACGGGAGGCAGCAGUGGGGAAUAUUGCACAAUGGGCGCAAGCCUGAUGCAGCAACGCCGCGUGAGGGAUGACGGCCUUCGGGUUGUAAACCUCUUUUAGCAGGGAAGGAGCGAAAGUGACGGUACCUGCAGAAAAAGCGCCGGCUAACUACGUGCCAGCAGCCGCGGUAAUACGUAGGGCGCAAGCGUUAUCCGGAAUUAUUGGGCGUAAAGAGCUCGUAGGCGGUUUGUCGCGUCUGCUGUGAAAUCCGGAGGCUCAACCUCCGGCCUGCAGUGGGUACGGGCAGACUAGAGUGCGGUAGGGGAGAUUGGAAUUCCUGGUGUAGCGGUGGAAUGCGCAGAUAUCAGGAGGAACACCGAUGGCGAAGGCAGAUCUCUGGGCCGUAACUGACGCUGAGGAGCGAAAGGGUGGGGAGCAAACAGGCUUAGAUACCCUGGUAGUCCACCCCGUAAACGUUGGGAACUAGUUGUGGGGUCCAUUCCACGGAUUCCGUGACGCAGCUAACGCAUUAAGUUCCCCGCCUGGGGAGUACGGCCGCAAGGCUAAAACUCAAAGGAAUUGAC
rnacentral:rRNA from 1 species